rnacentral:rRNA from 1 species
AUACGUAGGGUGCGAGCGUUGUCCGGAAUUACUGGGCGUAAAGAGCUCGUAGGUGGUUUGUCGCGUCGUCUGUGAAAUUCCGGGGCUUAACUCCGGGCGUGCAGGCGAUACGGGCAUAACUUGAGUACUGUAGGGGAGACUGGAAUUCCUGGUGUAGCGGUGAAAUGCGCAGAUAUCAGGAGGAACACCGGUGGCGAAGGCGGGUCUCUGGGCAGUAACUGACGCUGAGGAGCGAAAGCAGGGGUAGCGAACAGGAUUAGAUACCCUGGUAGUCCAUGCCGUAAACGGUGGGCGCUAGGUGUAGGGGUCUUCCACGACUUCUGUGCCGUAGCUAACGCAUUAAGCGCCCCGCCUGGGGAGUACGGCCGCAAGGCUAAAACUCAAAUGAAUUGACGGGG